GAAACAAACAAACAAACAAACAAACAAACAAAAAGGAGAGAGAGAUAACAGUUAAAUCAGAUACUUAUUACUAUUGAAGUAUAAAAAAAUAACAUUGGAACAUUGGAACAAUUGUAAUUCUUUAAUAUUUCCUUUGAAAGAACACUGAAUAAAAAAAAAUUCCUUCACUUUUAAAGCUGCCUGGAGAUUUACAGGUGUAUAAAGAGACAGAUAUGUCAAAAUACUUCUAAUAACAUUAGUGUUCUCUGGAACUGUCAUCAUGAAAACAACUGCCUACACUGCUACAACAGAUACAAAUUGUCCCUAAAAACAUUUUCACUUCAUGAAAUAAACAUGUAGUUACGUACAGUUAUCAUUCCAGAUGAACACAAAUAAUGAAGGAAAGAGAAUGCAGAACUGAAAGAUGGGAAGAGGAUUAUGCUGCUGAACCAAGACUUCCUCCAGAAUCCAAGUGCCUGAAAACAGGAUCAUUAAUUUCUGAAAAAGAUAAAAGUUUUGCCUUAUGGCAUUUGGAUUACAUACAAGAUUUUGUCUUCAGAAUUAAUCCAGUGUGUGAAUAGACAAGCAAACCACCUACUUCUGCAGUGCCUGAGAAUGACCAGCUGAAGAAGGACCAACCAGAAAUUGCACAAGAAAAAAGAAGAACACUGUUCUGGAAGAACAGCUGCCAGAGACAGUCUGCCAGAUCUAAGUAUCCACCUGUGACUGAUAAGCCUUCUUGAGUUCUGAAAACAUCAACAAAAGCACACAUUUUUCUCAAAAUUUAUUAUCUUCCCCCACAUCUCUCUUUCUGGCUCAUACAAUGAAUCCAUUUAAAAAAAAAAAAAAAAAAAAAAAAAAGUGUCUGUUGUUCAUUCUAUGCAUAAAAUUUGUCACUCACCCUCCUCCCUCCCCACACACGCAGCAGUAUGCAAUGAGAUGCCUCAAAACAGAAACUUGAUCCACAAGCACCAAUUUUGCCAUCUUGCUCUGAGGGAAAUUUAGUUAUACCAAGGGAAGAUUUAACAUUUCGUAUUGUAAUCAGAAGAAGCCAAACGAUGAUUAACCUCAGAUAUCUUUAUAUGUUUAGAGAGACUGUCAGGUUGUAGCACAAACAGUCUUAAUGCAGCAGAGGUUCUGUCCACACAGUUACUUCUAAAACAUAAACUUACUAAGCUAUAGUUAGUUGUUACCUUAUUUAUCCAGAUGCCUCAGUGUUUUAUCCUGAUACUUUUUUACUUUAAGUUAAAUCAUUACAUAUGGGACAAAUUAUGCAUCCUUAGCAGCAUAACCAAAUAGUGGGCUCAGAGCACAAUCCUCUAAACAGUUAUUUUUUUUUUAUUUUCUUCUUGUUUUGUUUCAUUGUGUUCUGUCCAGCUAUAGCCAUUUCAUUCUGAACAAUACCCUGCUGUCAUAGUGUUAGCUUAUAUACCCAUCAGCUGUGUUUUAUUUGCCUUUGAAAAUUCUCUUUUGUAGAUCUGAUCCUCUGUACCAGGAGACUGACAGAAGAAGUUUUAUCCUAGUAGCCAGCAAUCCUGAGCAAGUCACGUCUGCCCUACUAGGGUCUGUACUUAGGGUUUGAAAAACCUCACAUGCUUGCAUACAUCACCAUAGCAUAACCUCAUAUGCACAUGUACAUGUCAAACAUUGGAAGCAGUAAAACUGCUUCUGAUAAUUCUUCACAAUACCAGGCAAAGUAUCAAAAACAAUACAAAGUAUUAGGAAUCUAAAUAAACAUACACAGCAAAAAGUUAACUCA
ensembl:lncRNA